AUGAACGCUAGCGACAGGCCUAACACAUGCAAGUCGAGGGGUACCAUGGGAUCAGCUUGCUGAUUCUGAUGGCGACCGGCGCACGGGUGAGUAACGCGUAUGCAACCUGCCCGUAACAGAGGGAUAACCCGGAGAAAUCCGGCCUAAUACCACAUGAAAGAUUAUGUCCGCAUGGAUUUAAUCUUAAAGACUAACGGUUACGGAUGGGCAUGCGUUCCAUUAGCUUGUUGGUGAGGUAACGGCUCACCAAGGCGACGAUGGAUCGGGGUUCUGAGAGGAAGGUCCCCCACACUGGUACUGAGACACGGACCAGACUCCUACGGGAGGCAGCAGUGAGGAAUAUUGGUCAAUGGGCGAAAGCCUGAACCAGCCAAGUCGCGUGAAGGAAGACUGCCCUAUGGGUUGUAAACUUCUUUUAUACGGGAAUAAAAUACCUACGAGUUAGGGGAUUGCAAGUACCGUAUGAAUAAGCAUCGGCUAACUCCGUGCCAGCAGCCGCGGUAAUACGGAGGAUGCGAGCGUUAUCCGGAUUUAUUGGGUUUAAAGGGUGCGUAGGCGGCUUUAUAAGUCAGCGGUGAAAAUUUCCGGCUUAACCGGGAACCUGCCGAUGAAACUGUAAGGCUAGAGUGUAAAAGAGGUAUGCGGAAUGCGUGGUGUAGCGGUGAAAUGCAUAGAUAUCACGCAGAACUCCGAUUGCGAAGGCAGCAUACUGGGCUAUAACUGACGCUGAAGCACGAAAGCGUGGGUAUCGAACAGGAUUAGAUACCCUGGUAGUCCACGCCGUAAACGAUGAAUACUAACUGUUUGCGAUAUAAUGUAAGCGGUACAGCGAAAGCGUUAAGUAUUCCACCUGGGGAGUACGCCGGCAACGGUGAAACUCAAAGGAAUUGACGGGGGCCCGCACAAGCGGUGGAGUAUGUGGUUUAAUUCGACGCAACGCGAAGAACCUUACCAGGGCUUGACAUCCUACUAACGAGAUAGAGAUAUGUUAGGUGCCCUUCGGGGAAAGUAGAGACAGGUGGUGCAUGGUUGUCGUCAGCUCGUGCCGUGAGGUGUCGGCUUAAGUGCCAUAACGAGCGCAACCCUUGUUGUCAGUUACUAACAGGUUCCGCUGAGGACUCUGACAAGACUGCCAUCGUAAGAUGUGAGGAAGGUGGGGAUGACGUCAAAUCAGCACGGCCCUUACGUCCGGGGCUACACACGUGUUACAAUGGGGGGUACAGAAGGCAGCUACACGGCGACGUGAUGCUAAUCCCGAAAGCCUCUCUCAGUUCGGAUUGGAGUCUGCAACCCGACUCCAUGAAGCUGGAUUCGCUAGUAAUCGCGCAUCAGCCACGGCGCGGUGAAUACGUUCCCGGGCCUUGUACACACCGCCCGUCAAGCCAUGAAAGCCGGGGGUACCUGAAGUGCGUAACCGCAAGGAGCGCCCUAGGGUAAAACUGGUGAUUGGGGCU
rnacentral:rRNA from 1 species